rfam:Camelus ferus unplaced genomic scaffold scaffold112, whole genome shotgun sequence.
GGUGCUUACAGCUCAGUGGUAGAGUGUGUGCUUAGCAUACACAAGAUCCUGGGUUCAAUUCUCAGUACCUCCA